UACGUAGGUGACAAGCGUUGUCCGGAUUUACUGGGCGUAAAGAGCGCGCAGGCGGUCGAUCAAGUCGAGUGUGAAAGCCCCCGGCUCAACUGGGGAGGGUCACGCGAUACUGAUCGACUCGAAGGCAGGAGAGGGUAGUGGAAUUCCCGGUGUAGUGGUGAAAUGCGUAGAUAUCGGGAGGAACACCAGUGGCGAAGGCGACUACCUGGCCUGUUCUUGACGCUGAGGCGCGAAAGCUAGGGGAGCAAGCGGG
rnacentral:rRNA from 1 species